UCACUAAGACUAAGUCUAAGUAAAAAUUAUCAUUUGAAAUUCAUUUCAAAUCAAUUACAAUAAAAAUAAAUUAAAUCUGUAGAUUCUAAUUCUAAACCAAGUGCACUUUAUAAAGGUCUACACAAUUUAGAUCUAGACUCUAGGUAGAUCAAAAUAAACCUAGAUCUAGAUGUCUAUAUGAGUCAUAGAGUGAUAAAAUAUUUGAUCAUUUGAUUGAUCAGAAAGCACAGGGAGACAAGGAAAUGGGAAACUACGGGCAAGAACUCUUGACAAUAUUUUUUAAUAACCAUUUCAAUCUCUCUGGUUAAAAUCUAGUGUAUUCGUAACUGGAUUUGAUUUAGUGCUAUUUCCUUUUGCAAUUGUCCAUUGAACUACUUGCAUAGGCCCUACGCAACACCAACCGGGCCUGAUUCGACUGUAACUAUUUUACGCCCUAUUGUUUCUUAUCGUUAGGCCAGGCGUAUACGCUGAAGUAACAUACAAAUCGUUUGGGGCAUUUUGUGUACUUUGGACUAAGUUUGUACUUGGUCUCACAUUUCGUGUGUUCAAACAAUCCAACACCAAUUAUAUUUGCCUUCUAACUGGAUACGCGGAAGGAAUAUCUUAGCAGUGUGAAGG
rnacentral:sRNA from 1 species